CUGGGGGCGGAGGCGCGGGGGGGGUCGGGCGGUGCGGGGGGAGCCGGCAGCGCUCCCGGAGGAGGCGGCGGC
rnacentral:miRNA from 1 species